UAUUAAUUACCGCCGGGUAAACGUCUUGAUACCAUUCCAUUAGGCCUUAGAAGGAAUGGUGUUAAGGCGUUUUUUGUU
rnacentral:ncRNA from 1 species